GUGAGGAGCACGGGGCCGGGACUGCGGCGCGGCCGCGGCUGUCUCUGCUUGUGCUCCCUCGGACGGGGACUCCGGUUGUCCAGCGGUCCCCGCGCACAGACAGAAAUGUGCAUGUCUGCAGAAGAAAAAAUGAACCAGCUUGUGAAACCCUCGAAGGUAAUGUGCCCUCUGUUACGUGAUGGCCCCUUGGCAGUUCUGCAGCUGCUGUAUUGAUUGAAUAGUUACCAUGUAGCUGGCUGUUGGAACAAAUCGAUCUGCAUGAAGACAGCGUAAGCACUGAAUUUGACAAUUCUGACUGCAAGUACAAAGUACAAUAUUCCUCUUCUUCUCUUACGACUAGACAGAAUUGCUUUUCAGAGUAGAUUAUCAAACACUCUGAGCUUUUUUCAAAAGCAGUCACUUUGUCACUACCAUUCUGCUGGAUUUUAGACAGCUUGAUACUGGUGACUGUAAAAAAUGUUGCUAAUUACAUGCAUUUUUAAUUUCCAUAAUAAGCUAGGUUUUAAUUUAACUUGCUCUUUCAUUAGCUUUCUAAAAAUGAAAGCAGCUUCUGAAUAUUUUAAAUUAGCUGUGACAAAGCUUUCAGUUAAGAUUUAGUAAACCAUUUUUCUUUCUAAUCAGCUCUACCUUUAUUUUUUUUUCCACCACGUUUUCCAUUGCUGUUCUUUUCAGUUUCUGUCUUUGUUGUUUGUACUUUCCUCACUUUGCAGUUGCCCACAUCUGCAAACACAGGUAACUUUCCCUAUGUCAGUACUCCCGAUAGCCUCUCAGUACAAAGAGAGAUAUGACUUAACACCUUAUUGCGUUUGCCCCCAAGAUAAUAAAAUCAUAAGACUUCUUUUUUUUUUCACACGGAUACUUAGUCACCUUUAGAAAGCAAACAUUUUUGAAAGAUGCUAGCAACAUACUUCUCUAAUUUUGUCAGCUGUCAAAGUUGUGCUGGUAGGAAUACACCCAGAAGCAGAAUGCCCCGCAGCGGCUGGUGUAACAGUUGAGGCACUUGUUUCCAUUGUUUGGAUCUAUAACUCAAAUUGCUAGUUAGAUUAAUGCCUGUCCUUGUUGAUGUAAUCAUGCAAGAUUUAUCAAAACAGUGUCACAGGAUACAGUUUCUACACUUUCGCAUUCUUAAUUCUUUCCGUUACAGAAAUUUCACACGUUAUUGAGAAUAAGCGAAGCUUGAGGAAGGAGGAGGCUGUGGGAAGGCUAUUUGUGCCAGGAACCACCAGCAUGGCAGACGUCUCCUCCCUUCACAGACGUUACCUGCAGCCUCUCUGACAAUACAGCUGUACUACCCUAAUAUCCUCCAAAAACAUACGCCUCUGUCUUGGGUAUUGUUUUACAGAAGUUAGCAGGACCAGUCUUGUCCUUAAAAGUGCUUACAUGCAUGUUCACAUGUAGGAUGGGAGCCAAGGCAAAUAAACGUAUCUAUUUCAUCAUGA